CAAGGGAUAGUUUAAGAAAAUAUUAAUUUUGGAGAUUAAAGUUAAAGGAUUACCUUUUUCCUUGA
rnacentral:tRNA from 1 species